rnacentral:rRNA from 1 species
AAAGCAUCUAAGCGGGAAGCCUGCUUCAAGAUGAGGUUUCCAUCCCCCUCGUGGGGUGAAGGCACCCAGCUAGACCACUGGGUAGAUAGGCCGGAAGUGGAAGACAGGACCAACGACUGUCGCAGCUGACCGGUACUAAUAAGCCAACAACUUCAAC